UCCGGUUUGGCACCGGCAGUCCUCCCAGAGUCCUCGACUUGACUCGCUAGCAACUGGGAGCGGGGGUUGCGCUCGUUGCGGCACUUAAGCCAACACCUCACGGCACGAGCUGACGACAGCCAUGCAGCACCUGUGCUGGCCCCUUACGGACACGCGCUUUCACGCGCUUUAACCAGCAUGUCAAGCCCAGGUAAGGUUCUUCGCGUUGCAUCGAAUUAAGCCACAUGCUCCGCCGCUUGUGCGGGUCCCCGUCAAUUCCUUUGAGUUUUAGCCUUGCGGCCGUACUCCCCAGGCGGGGCACUUAAUGCGUUAGCUCCGGCACGGGAGGAGUCGACACCUCCCACACCUAGCACCCAUCGUUUACGGCUAGGACUAC
rnacentral:misc_RNA from 1 species